GAUUACUUGAUGAAUCUGUCCUCUUCUCUGUCAUCACUGAAACUCAUUUACUGUGGAUUGCAGGGUAAACUCCCAUCCUCAAUGGGGAAAUUUAAGCACCUGCAGUACUUGGAUCUUGUAGGGAACAAUAUUACUGGUCCAAUUCCAUAUGAUUUUGAUCAACUCACUGAGUUGGUUUCACUUGAUCUCUCUUCCAAUGACUAUCUGAGUCUAGAACCAAUUUCUUUUGACAAGCUUGUUCGAAACCUAACCAAGCUUAGAGAACUCGAUUUGAGUUGGGUAGACAUGUCACUAGUUGUUCCCGAUUCCUUGAUGAAUCUGCCUUCUUCUUUGUCAUCGCUCAUACUCAAUUCCUGUGGAUUGCAAGGAAUCUAUCCACUUGAAAACCUUGUACAGCUCACCGAUUUAGACCUCUCAAGUAACAAUUUGAGCGGUCAGAUCCCAUCAUCACUUGGAAACCUUGUACAGCUCACCGAUUUAGAUCUCUCAAGUAACAAUUUGAGCAGUCAGAUCCCAUCAUCACUUGGUAAUCUCACACAUCUCACCUCUUUAGACCUCUCAUCUAACAAUUUGAGCAGUCAGAUCCCAUCAUCACUUGGUAAUCUCACACAUCUCACCUCUUUAGACCUCUCAUCUAACAAUUUGAGCGGUCAGAUCCCAUCAUCACUUGGUAAUCUCACACAUCUCACCUCUUUAGACCUCUCAUCUAACAAUUUGAACUGUGAGAUCCCAUCAUCACUUGGAAACCUUGUACAGCUCACCCAUUUAGACCUCUCAAGUAACAGUUUUAGUAGUCAAAUCCCAUCAUCACUUGGUAAUCUCACACAGCUCAUCUCUUUAAACCUCUCAAAUCUCUAUUCCAAUAAAUUUAGGGGUCAAGUUCCAAAUUUUUUGGGUAGCCUAGUCAAUCUUUCAUAUUUAUAUUUAUCCAAUAAUCAACUAGUAGGCACAAUACCAUCCUUUUUGUUUCUUCUUCCUUCUUUAGGUUAUCUUGAUCUCCAUAACAAUAAUCUCAUAGGUAAUAUAAGUGAACUCCAACACGAUUCAUUGAGAUUCCUUGAUUUGAGCAAUAACCACUUGCAUGGUCCAAUCCCAAGUUCGAUUUUCAAACAAGAGAACUUGACAACCCUUAUUCUUGCGUCCAAUAGUAAAUUGACAGGUGAGAUUUCUUCUUCUAUUUGCAAGCUGAGAUUCCUUCGGGUCCUGGACUUGUCCAACAACAGCUUGAGUG
rnacentral:lncRNA from 1 species